rnacentral:rRNA from 1 species
AUUGCCUUAGUAACGGNGAGUGAAGCGGCAAAAGCUCAGAUUUGAAAUCUGGUGUUUUCAUAGACAUCCGAAUUGUAAUCUGUAGAGGAGUUUUCGGAGGAUCACUAUGGUUAAAGUGCCUUGGAAAAGGACAUCAUAGAGGGUGAGAAUCCUGUUUAUGGCCUUAGUACUUCUUCAUUAUGAAUCUCCUUCAAUGAGUCGAGUUGUUUGGGAAUGCAGCUCUAAAUGGGUGGUAAAUUCCAUCUAAAGCUAAAUAUUGGCAAGAGACCGAUAGCGCACAAGUAGAGUGAUCGAAAGAUGAAAAGAACUCUGAACAGAGAGUUAAAGAGUACGUGAAAUUGUUGAAAGGGAAGCACUUGUGACCAGACAAAUUUGCAAUUAAUCAGCCAUCAGUUUUUUGGUGGUGCACUUAAUUGUGAGUGGGUUAGCAUCAGUUAUGAUAAUGGGAAAAAGACUGAAGAAAUGUAGCUCCUCUUUGAGGAGUGUUAUAGGCUUUGGUUUAAUACUGUUUAUUGUGACUGA